AUGGAACACGUCGAGAACAUUGAAAUGAGAUUACGAGGUUAUUUACGACAACCAAAUUCGAAGAAUGAAAUGACACACCGUCUGUCUUUUGAAGGACAAGUAAAUUAGCUGAUUGCGGAAGCUACCAGAAUAGAUAAUCUAUGCCAAAUGUCGGAUGGGCAGCCUACAUGUGAUAUUAUUCGAGAGUAAAUUAUUCCCUUUUGACUUGCCGUCAAACUCAAAUUUGCCCAAUAGUUCAAAUACGUUCUUAUCUUUCAUUUUUUAAUUUUAAGAAUAAAGAAAUUCAUUGCAUUUUCUGUCUGCAAUCAUCUUUUUAUUAUCCUCCAAUUUAUUUCGGAGACAUGUCUUUUUUUUUUUUUAUUUCUCUCUUCAUUAUAGUAAAAUAAAUUGUGGGCGAUUGUAGGUGUCAGAAAAUUACUUGAGUUUACAUUACACGACUGGUAAAUCAUGGUUCAUGGA